GCCCAUGUGGCUCAUUUGGUAGAGCAUGAUACUUGCAAUACCAGGGUUGUGAGUUCAACUCCCACGGGGGACC
rnacentral:tRNA from 1 species